rnacentral:rRNA from 1 species
AUAUAUCCUGAGACCUGAUAGUGACCGCGAAUGCGGGAAGCAGGGUGAUCCUAUGCUGCCAAGAAAAUCUUCUAGCGAGGUUCGAGCCGCCCGUACCCCAAACCGACUCAGGUGGUUAGGUAGAGAAUACCAAGGCGAUCGAGUGAAUCGUGGUUAAGGAAUUCGGCAAAAUGCCCCCGUAACUUCGGGAGAAGGGGGGCCCGGACCCUGAAGUGACUUGCUCACUAGGGAAAAGGGCCGCAGAGACCAGGGAGAAGCGACUGUUUACUAAAAACACAGGUCCGUGCUAAGUCGCAAGACGAUGUAUACGGACUGACGCCUGCCCGGUGCUGGAAGGUUAAGAGGACGGGUUAGAUCUUAGGGUCGAAGCUCAGAAUUUAAGCCCCAGUAAACGGCGGUGGUAACUAUAACCAUCCUAAGGUAGCGAAAUUCCUUGUCGGGUAAGUUCCGACCUGCACGAAUGGCGUAACGACUUCUCCACUGUCUCAACCGCGAACUCGGCGAAAUUGCACUACGAGUAAAGAUGCUCGUUACGCGCAGCAGGACGGAAAGACCCCGGGACCUUUACUAUAGCUUGGUAUUGGUGUUCGGUACGGCUUGUGUAGGAUAGGUGGGAGACUGUGAAGCAUGCACGCCAGUGUGUGUGGAGUCAACGUUGAAAUACCACUCUGGUCGUUCUGGAUAUCUAACCUCGGUCCGUGAUCCGGAUCAGGGACAGUGCCUGGUGGGUAGUUUAACUGGGGCGGUUGCCUCCUAAAAGGUAACGGAGGCGCUCAAAGGUUCCCUCAGCCUGGUUGGCAAUCAGGUUUCGAGUGUAAGUGCACAAGGGAGCUUGACUGCGAGAGAGACAUCUCGAGCAGGGACGAAAGUCGGAAUUAGUGACCCGGCGGUGGCUUGUGGAAGCGCCGUCGCUCAACGGAUAAAAGGUACCCCGGGGAUAACAGGCUGAUCUUGCCCAAGAGUCCAUAUCGACGGCAUGGUUUGGCACCUCGAUGUCGGCUCGUCGCAUCCUGGGGGUGGAGUUGCUCCCAAGGGUUGGGCUGUUCGCCCAUUAAAGCGGUACGCGAGCUGGGUUUAGAACGUCGUGAGACAGUUCGGUCCCUAUCCGCUGUGCGCGUAGGAAACUUGAGAAGGGCUGACCCUAGUACGAGAGGACCGGGUUGGACGAACCUCUGGUGUGUCAGUUGUCCUGCCAAGGGCACCGCUGAUUAGCUACGUUCGGAAGUGAUAACCGCUGAAAGCAUCUAAGCGGGAAGCACGCUUCAAGAUGAGGUUUCCAUGGGGUUUACCCCGAGAGGCUCCCGGCUAGACUACCGGGUUGAUAGGCCAGACGUGGAAGUGCAGUAAUGCAUGGAGCUGACUGGUACUAAUAAGCCGAC